UCUAUAGAAAAGUCUGUCAGCUGUCAGAAUGAAUGUCACUGAGUCAGCCAUUGUGCCCGGAGUGAGACCUGCAGUCUUCAUUAUCAUUGCCUUAAGCAUACAAUUCUUAACCUUUCUAUGUCUGUGUCAGUUUUUUCCCUUGCUAGAAGACUCAUCCCAAUACAAAUAUUAAGCUGAAUACAGAGACAAAGCCUGGAUUAGGGGAUCAGCAGGAUCAACACUGUAAAGAAGGAGAUAUAGAAAAUACAUUCAUACACCAGAGCUAUCUAUACAUGCUCAUUAGAAUGAGUUAAACUGUGGCUGGAGUAACUUUGAAUUUCUUUGCUUUGGUUGAGAUACCCCAUUACUCCACUGACCUUCCAUCCUGGUCAAGGGAUGGUCCCUGUGAGGACCUGCCUAUGGGUCUUUCUACUGUCAGAUCAUCCUGAACAAACUGCUUACUCUGCUCGUCCUACAAGCUGUUCUCCUCUUGACAUCAAUACAGACCAGAGAGCAAAUUUGGCCUUUAAAAUUAGACAAUUUACUGCUGAAGGACUUUGCAGUCCUUUUAACAGGCUCAUCUAAAGCAGAAUUCUCAAAAGAAGAAUUUUCAUCAACAUUUUCUCCAGCGAGCACCAGAUCACCC